AGUGAACGCUGGCGGUAGGCCUAACACAUGCAAGUCGAGCGGCAGCACAGUAAGAGCUUGCUCUUACUGGUGGCGAGUGGCGGACGGGUGAGGAAUACAUCGGAAUCUACUUUUUCGUGGGUGAUAACGUAGGGAAACUUACGCUAAUACCGCAUACGACCUACGGGUGAAAGCAGGGGAUCUUCGGACCUUGCGCGAUUGAAUUAGCCGAUGUCGGAUUAGCUAGUUGGCGGGGUAAAGGCCCACCAAGGCAACGAUCCGUAGCUGGUCUGAGAGGAUGAUCAGCCACACUGGAACUGAGACACGGUCCAGACUCCUACGGGAGGCAGCAGUGGGGAAUAUUGGACAAUGGGCGCAAGCCUGAUCCAGCAAUACCGCGUGGGUGAAGAAGGCCUUCGGGUUGUAAAGCCCUUUUGUUGGGAAAGAAAAGCAGCAGGUUAAUACCCCGCUGUUCUGACGGUACCCAAAGAAUAAGCACCGGCUAACUUCGUG
rnacentral:rRNA from 1 species